UGGGGAAUUUUGCGCAAUGGGCGAAAGCCUGACGCAGCAACGCCGCGUGAGUGAUGAAGGCUUUCGGGUCGUAAAGCUCUGUCGAGGGGAAAGAAGUGUAUUGUGGUUAAUACCCGUGAUACUUGACGGUACCCCUAAAGGAAGCACCGGCUAACUCCGUGCCAGCAGCCGCGGUAAUACGGGGGGUGCAAGCGUUGUUCGGAAUUAUUGGGCGUAAAGCGCGUGUAGGCGGUCUGAUUAGUCUGAUGUGAAAGCCCUGGGCUCAACCCAGGAAGUGCAUUGGAUACUGUCAGACUUGAAUAUGGGAGAGGGUAGUGGAAUUCCUAGUGUAGGAGUGAAAUCCGUAGAUAUUAGGAGGAACACCGGUGGCGAAGGCGGCUACCUGGACCGAUACUGACACUGAGGAGCGAAAGUCUGGGGAGCAAACAGG
rnacentral:rRNA from 1 species